AACGAACGCUGGCGGCAGGCCUAACACAUGCAAGUCGAGCGAGGACUUCGGUUCUAGCGGCGGACGGGUGAGUAACGCGUGGGAAUGUGCCCUUCUCUACGGAAUAGCCCUGGGAAACUGGGAGUAAUACCGUAUACGCCCUAUUGGGGAAAGAUUUAUCGGAGAAGGAUCAGCCCGCGUUGGAUUAGGUAGUUGGUGGGGUAAUGGCCUACCAAGUCGACGAUCCAUAGCUGGUUUGAGAGGAUGAUCAGCCACACUGGGACUGAGACACGGCCCAGACUCCUACGGGAGGCAGCAGUGGGGAAUCUUAGACAAUGGGGGCAACCCUGAUCUAGCCAUGCCGCGUGAGUGAUGAAGGCCUUAGGGUUGUAAAGCUCUUUCAGCUGGGAAGAUAAUGACGGUACCAGCAGAAGAAGCCCCGGCUAACUCCGUG
rnacentral:rRNA from 1 species